rnacentral:rRNA from 1 species
GACGAACGCUGGCGGCGUGCUUAACACAUGCAAGUCGAACGGAAAGGCCCUGCUUUUGUGGGGUGCUCGAGUGGCGAACGGGUGAGUAACACGUGAGUAACCUGCCCUUUACUUUGGGAUAACUUCAGGAAGCUGGGGCUAAUACCGGAUAUGAGCUCCUGCUGCAUGGUGUGGGUUGGAAAGGUUCGGCGGUUGGGGAUGGACUCGCGGCUUAUCAGCUUGUUGGUGGGGUAGUGGCUUACCAAGGCUUUGACGGGUAGCCGGCCUGAGAGGGUGACCGGCCACAUUGGGACUGAGAUACGGCCCAGAGUCCUACGGGAGGCAGCAGUGGGGAAUAUUGCACAAUGGGCGGAAGCCUGAUGCAGCAACGCCGCGUGCGGGAUGACGGCCUUCGGGUUGUAACCCGCUUUCGCCUGUGACGAAGAGUGAGUGACGGUAAUGGGUCAAGAAGCAACGGCUAACUACGUG